GACAGAGGCCUCAAGCGUUAGGCGGAAUCACUGGGCUUAAAGCGUGUGUAGGUGGAUUCUUAAGUGCCUUGUGAAAUCCCACGGCUCAACCGUGGAACUGCUUGGCAUACUGGGAGUCUUGAGCCAUCUAGGGGCAACUGGAACAGACGGUGGAGCGGUGAAAUGCGUAGAUAUCGUCUGGAACGCCAAUGGUGAAGACAGGUUGCUGGGGAUGUGCUGACACUGAGACACGAAAGCCAGGGGAG
rnacentral:rRNA from 1 species